GCGGGGGUAGCCAAAUCAGGUAAGGCGGAGGCCUGCAAAGCCUUAAUGUGUCGGUUCAACUCCGGCCCCUCGCUCCA
rnacentral:tRNA from 1 species